rnacentral:lncRNA from 1 species
UAUGUUAGAUAUUUUUUUAGAUAUUUUGGAAACCGGUGAAUGAUGCGUCGGAUUCACUGAAAGUGGAGAGAACUGAAGUGGCUUCUAACCGUAAUUUUUUUUAUUGUUUGAUUCACCGUAAUUUCACGUGCAAUCAAAAUUUAAAAUUUUCAAAAUAACUAUAAAAAGAAUAAAAAUUUAACAUUUAUUUUUUAUGAAACAAACAACGAACUUUUUUUAAAAAACUUUAGUUUUACAGCAGUACAAAAAUAUAACAAAAACUUUUUUAUUUAAUUUGAAAGUUUACUUCAAUAUAAAUUUCAUUUUCGGUGAAACAAAUAUGCCGUCAGACAAAAAAAAUAGUAAUAACUGGUUCAGAGUAACUUUUUUUUUUGGAAAAACUUCAGAUACCCUCCAUGUUAUUUCGCACUUUCUCACUUUAGUAUCAUGUGGUUUAAAAUGUAUCAAGUUAGUACCUUGUAGUUUUGCAUUUUCUCACUUUAGUACCUUAUAGUUUCAAGUGUAUCAAGUUAGUAUUCUGUUGUUUAAUUUUUGUAUUAAGUUAUUACCCCGUGGUUUCAAUUUUCUCUUUUCAUUAUUCAUUUCAGGAUAUAUAUAAUUUAACGAAAUAUUAAACCACAUGGUACUAAAGUGAGAAAGUGCAAAAUCACAAGGUGCUAACUUGAUACACUUGAAACCACAUGGUACUAAAAUAAGAAAAUGUGAAAUCACGGGGUACUAACUUGAUACACUUGAAAUCACAUGAUACUAAAGUGAAAAAGUGCGUCCCUCCCCCCUUUUUUUUUGAAAGUAUAUUUACAUU